UCUCCGUUGGUGAACCAGCGGAGGGAUCAUUACAGAGUUUUCACAACUCCCAACCCUUGCGAACCGUACCCAUUCUGUUCUCGUUGCUUCCGGCGGGGGGGACGGGGGGGCCCGAAACGGCCUCCCCGCCCCGCCCGCCCGGGGCGGCGGGCCCUACGAACCUUUAUAUCUCAACCACCAUAAACCCUUUGAGCAAACGAACAAAAUAAUCAAAACUUUCAACAACGGGUCCCUUGGCUGAAGCACCGAUGAAUAACGCACCAUAUCGGAAGAGCACAC
rnacentral:misc_RNA from 1 species